rnacentral:lncRNA from 1 species
GUUCGACAACCGUGGGAGCGAAUUUUAGGCCGGGGUUAAAAAAAUCUCCUCAUAUGUCCCACGCCAAAGACAGGUGUAAGGUCCGGACUUGGUCGCGGUCGUUCUCACAUGGACUACAGUACCACUGUGUAUGGGUGAGACACGAGUUCAGAGUUUUUCUCGACCUGCGUGAGAAGGUCUUCUUUUUAAUUGUAAUGCCGUGAGGGCGGUCUUACCCACGCAGGUCAGUUUUUUAAGAUAGGCCUAAAUUACGGUAAACCCCACUUGAAGGCCUCUACAAGCUUUUAUGGACUAUGGGCUACACAAU